GUAACGCACGACUUUGGAUUGUUCUCCAUCAUCACUGAUCAUGGUAACCAGGAGAUCACCAGAGGUGGUACUGCAGACAUAGAGAGAUAUUCAUAAUAUCGAGUGCCUGGGACCGGACAAUACCGGAUAUUCUAUACAGUUGGUCACGUGGGACUGUGUGGUGAUCUUCAGCAAAGUUCUAUCAUUUGUUUUUUCAGAAUAAAUGAAUACUUAUUGCAUCAACA